rnacentral:tRNA from 1 species
UGCGGGAUCGUCUAACGGUAGGACACAGGCCUCUGGAGCCUGGUAUCUAGGUUCGAGUCCUAGUCCCGCAG